CUCAGUUAUUGUUAUGAGUUAUAUUUAUCAUUAUUUCAAGUAAAUUUACAUAAUAAUAAUUGAUGUAUGUUAAUAAUUUGAUUUAAAAAACUAAAUUUUCAAAUAUAAUAAAUAUCAGUAUAUUUAUUAGCAAUGGUGUUGUAAGUAACCUAUAUUGUAGAUAUUUACAUAUUUUAUAAAUUUGAAUGUAAUUUAUUUUUGUAUUAUUGAAUUGUUAUGUCAUUAUAUAAUUGUAAUUUAUUUUUAACAUAAUUUAUGUGUAAAAAAACAAUUAUAAUUAUAAUUGUUAAGGAUUGUAGAGGUGUAAUGAGUUUUAUAAAUAAAUAUUUUUGUGG